AGCAGCCGCGGUAAUUCCAGCUCCAAUAGCGUAUAUAAAAGUUGUUGCAGUUAAAAAGCUCGUAGUUGAACUUCGGGGUUUACCCAUUGGUCAGGCUUAAUUGUCUGUACUGGUGAGAUAAAUCUCUACCUUCUGAGGAACUUUCAUGUCAUUAAUUUGGUGUGAUUGGAAAUCAGGACUGUUACUUUGAAAAAUUAGAGUGUUUAAAGCAGGCUAACGUCUGAAUACAUUAGCAUGGAAUAAUGAAAUAGGACGGACUGAUUCUAUUUCGUUGGUUCUAGGAUCACCGUAAUGAUUAAUAGGGAUAGUUGGGGGCAUUAGUAUUCAAUUGUCAGAGGUGAAAUUCUUGGAUUUAUUGAAAGACUAACUACUGCGAAAGCAUUUGCCAAGGGUGUUUUCAUUAAUCAAAGAACGAAAGUUAGGGGAUCGAAGACGAUCAGAUACCGUCGUAGUCUUAAACCAUAAACUAUGCCGACUAGGGAUCGGACGAAGUUAAUUUAUAAACUGAACGUCGUUCGGC
rnacentral:rRNA from 1 species